UAAUUUCUAUUAAGUUGGUGCAAAAGUAAUUUUGUUUUUUUCAUUACUUUUAAUGGCAAAAACUGCAAUUACUUUUGCACCAAUCUAGUAU
rnacentral:miRNA from 1 species